rnacentral:rRNA from 1 species
GAUGGGCCCGCGCCCGAUUAGCUAGUUGGUGGGGUAACGGCUCACCAAGGCAUCGAUCGGUAGCCGGCCUGAGAGGGUGAUCGGCCACACCGGAACUGAGACACGGUCCGGACUCCUACGGGAGGCAGCAGUGGGGAAUCUUGCGCAAUGGGCGAAAGCCUGACGCAGCAACGCCGCGUGGAGGAUGAAGGCCCUUGGGUUGUAAACUCCUGUCGGCUGGGAAGAAAUCGUGCGGUGCUCAUACCAUCGCGCGUUGACUGUACCAGCAAAGGAAGCCCCGGCUAACUCUGUGCCAGCAGCCGCGGUAAUACAGAGGGGGCUAGCGUUAUUCGGAAUUAUUGGGCGUAAAGGGCGCGUAGGCGGCCACGCGUGUCUUUCGUGAAAUCCCUCGGCUUAACUGAGGACGUGCGGAAGAAACUGCGAGGCUGGAGUCCGAGAGAGGGGGGUGGAAUUCCCAGUGUAGCGGUGAAAUGCGUAGAUAUUGGGAGG